rfam:Mortierella elongata AG-77 unplaced genomic scaffold K457scaffold_258, whole genome shotgun sequence.
AGAAAAGAAAAACUAAUGGUAGGAGCGACGACUGGCAUGUGGCAGCCAGGCGUUCAUAGCGACGUUGCUAUUUGAUCCUUCGGUGUUAGCUCUUAUCAUACUGACGCAGAAUGAAGUAAGUGUUGAAAUGUUCACCCCCGAAUAGGGAACAAGACCUGGGGUUUAGACCUUCGCGAGACAGCGUCGGAAGAACUGGU